rnacentral:rRNA from 1 species
CCAGACUCCUACGGGAGGCAGCAGUGAGGAAUAUUGGUCAAUGGCCGCAGGGCUGAACCAGCCAAGUCGCGUGAGGGAUGACGGUCCUAUGGAUUGUAAACCUCUUUUGUCAGGGGGCAAAGGGCGCCACGUGUGGCGUUUUGCGAGUACCUGAAGAAAAAGCAUCGGCUAACUCCGUGCCAGCAGCCGCGGUAAUACGGAGGAUGCGAGCGUUAUCCGGAUUUAUUGGGUUUAAAGGGUGCGUAGGCGGGCUGUUAAGUCAGCGGUCAAAUGUCGGGGCUCACCCCCGGCCUGCCGUUGAAACUGGCGGCCUCGAGUGGGCGAGAAGUAUGCGGAAUGCGUGGUGUAGCGGUGAAAUGCUUAGAUAUCACGAAGAACCCCGAUUGCGAAGGCAGCCUGCCGCAGCGUUACUGACGCUGAAGCUCGAAAGCGCGGGUAUCGAACAGGAUUAGAUACCCGUGUAUAG